GACGAACGCUGGCGGCGUGCUUAACACAUGCAAGUCGAACGGAAAGGCCCUGCUUGCAGGGUACUCGAGUGGCGAACGGGUGAGUAACACGUGGGUGAUCUGCCCUGCACUUCGGGAUAAGCCUGGGAAACUGGGUCUAAUACCGGAUAGGAGCCAUUUUUAGUGUGAUGGUUGGAAAGUUUUUUCGGUGUAGGAUGAGCUCGCGGCCUAUCAGCUUGUUGGUGGGGUAAUGGCCUACCAAGGCGGCGACGGGUGGCCGGCCUGAGAGGGUGGACGGCCACAUUGGGACUGAGAUACGGCCCAGACUCCUACGGGAGGCAGCAGUGGGGAAUAUUGCACAAUGGGCGCAAGCCUGAUGCAGCGACGCCGCGUGGGGGAUGACGGCCUUCGGGUUGGAAACUCCUUUCGCUAGGGACGAAGCUUUUUGUGACGGUACCUAGAUAAGAAGCACCGGCUAACUACGUG
rnacentral:rRNA from 1 species